UUUAUGGGGUGACUGCGUACCUUUUGUAUAAUGGGUCAGCGACUUAUAUUCUGUAGCAAGGUUAACCGAAUAGGGGAGCCGAAGGGAAACCGAGUCUUAACUGGGCGUUAAGUUGCAGGGUAUAGACCCGAAACCCGGUGAUCUAGCCAUGGGCAGGUUGAAGGUUGGGUAACACUAACUGGAGGACCGAACCGACUAAUGUUGAAAAAUUAGCGGAUGACUUGUGGCUGGGGGUGAAAGGCCAAUCAAACCGGGAGAUAGCUGGUUCUCCCCGAAAGCUAUUUAGGUAGCGCCUCGUGAAUUCAUCUCCGGGGGUAGAGCACUGUUUCGGCAAGGGGGUCAUCCCGACUUACCAACCCGAUGCAAACUGCGAAUACCGGAGAAUGUUAUCACGGGAGACACACGGCGGGUGCUAACGUCCGUCGUGAAGAGGGAAACAACCCAGACCGCCAGCUAAGGUCCCAAAGUCAUGGUUAAGUGGGAAACGAUGUGGGAAGGCCCAGACAGCCAGGAUGUUGGCUUAGAAGCAGCCAUCAUUUAAAGAAAGCGUAAUAGCUCACUGGUCGAGUCGGCCUGCGCGGAAGAUGUAACGGGGCUAAACCAUGCACCGAAGCUGCGGCAGCGACGCUUAUGCGUUGUUGGGUAGGGGAGCGUUCUGUAAGCCUGCGAAGGUGUGCUGUGAGGUAUGCUGGAGGUAUCAGAAGUGCGAAUGCUGACAUAAGUAACGAUAAAGCGGGUGAAAAGCCCGCUCGCCGGAAGACCAAGGGUUCCUGUCCAACGUUAAUCGGGGCAGGGUGAGUCGACCCCUAAGGCGAGGCCGAAAGGCGUAGUCGAUGGGAAACAGGUUAAUAUUCCUGUACUUGGUGUUACUGCGAAGGGGGGACGGAGAAGGCUAUGUUGGCCGGGCGACGGUUGUCCCGGUUUAAGCGUGUAGGCUGAUUUUCCAGGCAAAUCCGGAAAAUCAAGGCUGAGGCGUGAUGACGAGGCACUACGGUGCUGAAGCAACAAAUGCCCUGCUUCCAGGAAAAGCCUCUAAGCAUCAGGUAACAUCAAAUCGUACCCCAAACCGACACAGGUGGUCAGGUAGAGAAUACCAAGGCGCUUGAGAGAACUCGGGUGAAGGAACUAGGCAAAAUGGUGCCGUAACUUCGGGAGAAGGCACGCUGAUAUGUAGGUGAAGCGACUUGCUCGUGGAGCUGAAAUCAGUCGAAGAUACCAGCUGGCUGCAACUGUUUAUUAAAAACACAGCACUGUGCAAACACGAAAGUGGACGUAUACGGUGUGACGCCUGCCCGGUGCCGGAAGGUUAAUUGAUGGGGUUAGCGGUAACGCGAAGCUCUUGAUCGAAGCCCCGGUAAACGGCGGCCGUAACUAUAACGGUCCUAAGGUAGCGAAAUUCCUUGUCGGGUAAGUUCCGACCUGCACGAAUGGCGUAAUGAUGGCCAGGCUGUCUCCACCCGAGACUCAGUGAAAUUGAACUCGCUGUGAAGAUGCAGUGUACCCGCGGCAAGACGGAAAGACCCCGUGAACCUUUACUAUAGCUUGACACUGAACAUUGAGCCUUGAUGUGUAGGAUAGGUGGGAGGCUUUGAAGUGUGGACGCCAGUCUGCAUGGAGCCGGCCUUGAAAUACCACCCUUUAAUGUUUGAUGUUCUAACGUUGGCCCCUGAUCGGGGUUGCGGACAGUGUCUGGUGGGUAGUUUGACUGGGGCGGUCUCCU
rnacentral:rRNA from 1 species